UUUAUUUCCCAGUAUUUUCAUUAGUUUAAUUAAACCAGCAUUUAACACACUGUUUUUAUUUUAUUUUUUGGUCUAAUAAACCUACUUCUAUAUGUAUUUCCUCAUAUACCACAUUCAUAUUUUAUCACACACUGCCCACACACAACUUGCUCCAGUCUCUUUUUUUCCUAUGUGACUGCUGUGCCAACUCCUCCAGCUUUACAAAUAUGAUAAGACCAAAGCUGCAAGAACUCUUCCAGCAUAUGGUAAUGGUUAACCAGAUAAUUCAUUUAGGGGUGGGAAUAGAAAACAGUCAGAAGUUAUUCUGUCUUCUGUGUGUUUGCCCGCCGUCAAUGAGUUGCAUUCAUUCAUAGCAGGACUCAGAAUGGAGGAGACGUUGCAACAAGAGAAACAAGAGUCGGAAUAUAAAAAUCCCAACGAGGAUCAAGGUGGGAUCCGUCGCCGAUUGAGGGACAGGGAUCUUCUCAGGAAGAGAAAGGCUGAAGCUGAAGAGAAGGAAACUAACCAGGUGGAGAGUCAGAGGAAAAGACCGAGGGCUGAGGACAGGAGCGGUGCAAAGAAGAAAGGGAGGCCCAGAAAGACUGAACCCAAACCGGAGGUAUCUGCCAUUCAGCAAGAGGCAGCACCGCCUCAGGAAGGUCCUGCAGUAGUGGUGGUGCCUGAACCCACUGAGGUCACCCUAGAUCAAACAGCAAGUUCUCUAUCACCCUUACUUACGGUGGAAUCAAAACCAGCAUCUGUCCUUGCUGCCCCUGCUCCUCUGCCACUGUUUGGCUCCAUCCAGAGCGCAGUCUUUGCUCCUACUCUGACUCCUCCAGCUCCAGUUAACCUGGCUCCAGCCCUUUUUUCACCUUCAGUUCCUGCCCAAGUUCCCGCCAAAGAUCUAGAUACGGCUCCAGUCCCCGUCCAAGAUUUGGCUCCAGCUCCAGAUGCUGCUCCAGUCCCCACCUCUGAUCCAGCUGCAGCUCCUUCUGCAGCUCCUCCCCAGGUGGAUCCCUUCUACAUAGGGUCACAAGGCAGUAAAGCCCUUGACCAGGUCCUGAUUGAGGACUUGGGCCCGGAUGAGGAGCAAGAAAUCCCUGUACCUCAAGACAAAAGAGCUGAUGAAGAUUUGAGUGGGACAGCGUCGAUUAACGUACCUGAACAAAGCAAAAUGUUCUCAGUUCCCACCUUCCCACAGCCGCCUCCUCCACAAGAAUACUUCCCAGGAAAUUCAUUCUAAUUUUCUAAAACACACAUUACAGAUACUGCCUCAGUUCAGAACACGCAAGCCAGACUUCAUCUUUUUUGGCCACAGUUUGUAUCUGACUAUUGUUUUGGUUAGUGUGCAGCCUGUUGAGGUUGAAGAGAAUAAACAUGUUGAGCAUAUGCAUCGCUUAUUUGCCAAAUGUAUGAUUUCAAACCUGUAUGCUUAUUUAUUCUGGUUUGUGCUUCACGGACAAGCUCAUGAAUUUUAUUUUGUAUUUUGCAUUUAGUAAACAGCAAAUUUUGCCUGCUUUUAUUUAAAAGUAAAUGGUAUAAAUCACUGGUAAUUAUGUAUUUGUAAUUGUGGAUUUAUUUGAAUUUUGUAAAAGUUGUUUUUCACCUAAUAAAAUAACCUGCUUACAAUCGUCUGGGUGUGGUCAUCAUUAUCUGCAUCAUUCAGACAUAAGAUAUGAUCAAAAAAUUAAAUAUAAGAGAUUUCCUUCAAAUUAGUUAAUAGAUUUUGAUCCCUCUAUUUACUGUGUUACAAAAUGUAACCGUCAAUAGUAGUAACUAUGGCCAAAUGUUACUUGGAUUAUGUAUAUACAGCACAUUUAUUGCACUCUAACUGAUAAGUAUAUAAAACUCUAACAAUAAACCAUUUUUAAAGUUCUGGUCAUUGAAAUUAAAAAGUAUAUGUCAUUAUUGUCUCCAGUGAACAUAAUAUCUGCACACUUGUAUUUAAUUUAUGCCUUGUUUGUUGCCUGUGGUACACCUGGCUCUACUUUUUCUGCCUACUCUUAUUGUGCUAGUUGUACUUUCCUUAAUACUAUACAGAGGUGGAAGACGUAUAUAUAUAUACAUAUCUACCACAAUGUAAAAUUACCCCAUUACAACAAAAAGUCCUGAAUUCAAAUGAGUAAUAUCAGCAACAUAUUUUUCAACAUCAGAAUCAAAUAUAAAAAGCAGAGCUUCUACAGCAGAAUGGUCACAGUCAGUGUAAUGUUAUUAUACAUUAUAUUAUUAGAUUAUGCAUUAGCAGGUAACAGUGAAAAAUAAUCCAGUAAAAGACUUGCAUUCAAACUUUACUUGUAAGUAUUAUCACCAAUAAUUUACUUAAGUGGCAAAGGUAAAAGUACUCAUUCUGCAGAAGUGGUCCCUGUCAGUGUUUUACUAUUAUAUGAUGUUUUUGAAAUGAUAUUACUUCUGAGUCAAUGUGUAUGUCGAAUUUCACUGCUGUAUAUACUGUUAGGUAGUUUAAUCAAAUAUGUUCGUAGUGUCACUGUCCUGUGAGAACCACGUUUAUUUCUUAACCAAUAGAGGAACACGUAAUCAGUUUAUAAGGACAGAUUCAAUUUAACAUAACCAAAUUUGGACAUACAUGGCUUUCCCUGGACAGGAAGGGUAUGAAAAAGAAAUUUAAAGAAGUAAAUAUUAGGGAUGCACGAUAAAUAUUAUGACAGAUAAAUUAUCGUCCGAUAAUAGGAAAUGUAUAUUAUUAUAAAUUAUCAAGAUAAUUAAAUUACAGCCAAUAAAUUGUCGGUUGAUAUUAAUAAUCAUUUAGUUGGAAUUCUUAUGCAAAACGAUUGAUAGACUUUAUCUUCAGUUAGAACAGGAUAUUAAAUCAUCCAUCUUUGCUCACUACAGCUGAUCCUUUCUUAAGCUCAAGUGUGUAAAAACUACAGGUUAUAAACAUUUUUUAAAUACAAUAAUGCUAUAAUGAUCUGUCAUCUUAUCGGUAUCGACCAUGAGAAGCUGGCACAUAUUGGUUAUCGUAUCGGCUGGAAAAAAGAAAAAUCCUAAUUGUGCAUACCUAGUAAUCGUAUCGGCUGGAAAAAAGAAAAAUCCUAAUUGUGCAUACCUAGUAAAUAUAUCUGUCAGACAAAAUGCAGCUGAGUAAGAAGUACAAUAUUUGCCUCUGAGAUGUAGUGGGUGGAAAUACUCAAGAAGAAGUAACUCUAAUUAAAUAGUGAAUUUGUACAGUACUUGAGUAAACACCCCCCCAUUCCACCACUGGGGGGUAUGCAGCAUUUUAAUGUCAUAGCUGGUGAGGUGGAACUAUUUUAUUCUGUUUAAUCUAUAACAUUGCAUUUUCUAUUAUAUCAGAUUAUCCUAUUUUUUUGUAACGUCAUGUCAAGUAAAUAAUAAUAUUUGAGUUGUUGAUUGAUUAUUAUUAUGUUACGGAUUAGUUGUGUAAGCAGAGUAAAAGCAAAUACUACAUCUACUUACAUUCCACCACUGACUGUAGAUUGUGUAGCUACAUUUAUAAAUAAAGUUUGUUUAAAAAAAAUAAAAUAAAUGACACAC
ensembl:lncRNA